GCCCCUUUAGCGCCUGGUGCCGCCACGUCCGCACCUCUUAGCUGCCUUCUAAGCAGCGGGUCGCAGGUUCGAGUCCUGCCGGGGGCG
rnacentral:tRNA from 1 species